ensembl:lncRNA
CACAUGUCCUUUUAUUUGGCACCAAAUAUUUGCUCUCAAUAGAAAAUUAUCAUUCCAUAUGUGCACAUGCACACUGUUGACAUCAUUCUAAACAAAAAGCAUUGCAUGAAAAAAUAAUGGAUUAUAAACAAAUCUGAAUCAAGACCACAUAAAAAAAAUCAGAAGACUUGUGGUGCAAAAGGUCUUUAAAUUCCAAAACAAUGGGUGCUUCUGUGGUGUGCAUAACCUUGAAAGCAUGGACAUGUUCCUCUAAAUAAAGAGUUUUCAUAGCAGUCGUUAUAAAAAGAACACUAAUCUCUUACAACAAUAUUCUGGACUACAUGAAACACAGGCAUCUCAUUCUCCACUCCUAUGCUGAAGAUGAACUUUCAUUAACACUUGAACUGUCACGCAAAGAACACUUAGUGAGAUGCUUUCGUAAUCCAGAAAAACUAUUAUAUACAUGUGCACAACCCCUUUGAGCACAUUUUAACCUGAGAGUUUUUCCGGGACAAAGACAAAUGAAGCAGAUCAUAGGAGUUUACUUCAGCAUCCUGGCCCUCAACUCUGCAACUCUAGGAUUUACCUUGGUGUUUUCCACAUCUAUGUCAUAGACAGUGGUUUGCAGAAAGGUGUACACAUUGGUCAAUUCCUGACAGUAUCUUGUGCCAAAGACGAAAUGUGCUUUGAAAAGUUCAUCAACACAAGCCAAUGAAGUUGAGGUCUUACAGGGUAGAGCAUGUUUGUCGAUCACGAUGUAGUAAGACUCGAUCAUGCUCUUCUUGGCACCAACAGCAAGUAGGUAUGGCUGGAGACUCCCAGAGAUGUUGUCCAGGUGUCCUUGGAUGCUGGUCCCAAUCUGUGGUUGAAUAAGGAGGCAUGGUCAUUUAUUAUGUUUUGGAUUCUUACAAAGUUACAAUAAGAGUAAAAAGGAAGAGGGCACACUAUGCAUAACACUUAUUAGCGCAUACGCUGUAAAGCACUCUGAAGACAACGCCGAAACACGUAAAUGCAAAUAAGGUCAGUGUUAUGCAACGUGUGUGGCCACCUUUUGUUAGUUAUUUAAGCGUUACCCAAUGGCCCUGCACUAUUAGCAUAAUAGGGGAUUAUCACGCUUCCUGGUUCCGGUGGCGGGAUUUGUCUUCGUUGUGCAUGAACACUUCCGGCGCACUUCAACAAUGGCUGAAACAAAGGCUAGAUGUCACUGCUCUGUUCCACUUUGUACAUCUAACAAACAACACCAACCCUACUUAAGUUUUCAUGGAUUCCCGACUGAAUUGAGUUUAAGGAAGAAGUGGAUUCAAGCGGUUCGCCGGGAUGAAGGGCCAAACUUUAAAAUAAAACAAGUGGAACAACUGGGGACUGCCAAGAAGGGGGUCUGUUUAUAAAAGAGCAUCAACUCGCUUAGGCCAUGACGUUCACCCAGCCCUUCCUCUGGAGCAACCGCUGCCCUGUGAAUAAUAAUAAUACCCCAUACUGUUCUUAAACCACCUACCUGACAGGAUGUGCUACCUAUGGUUUAAUCACAGAAUGGGCUCUUAGUAGGUUAUACCGAGGAGGUAAGUCAACUUUUCAGUACUUGGGCACAAAAUGUUUAGUCUUAUUAAUGUCCCAGCAUUUGACCAAACCACAAUGUGAAAAGCUUCAUAACAAGUACAAAUGUUGCAUUUUAUAUCUUACUUAAUUAAUUGUAAAGGUGAAUAUUGAGCUAUAAAAAGCACAUUUUAAAAGCAAUAUUGAGCUACAAAAAGCAAUUUCUUUAGAGGUCCAAACUGCUUCCAAUAUGCAAGUCACAGCCAAAAUCUGGGUUAGAUGUUUUAAUCUUUAUUCCUCAUCUCAUACAGGUGCACUGGAUGCUGCUGCUGUACACAUACAGCAAUUGGAAGAAACAGUCAAGGAGCUGAUGAGAGCCGUCACAGCUGAAAGUGGUUCAAGUGCCUUUUCACAGAUUUUGUGUCUCAGACGAGGACAUCCUUUUUUACACCAGAUUCACGUCAAGAUAUGUUUUUUGUGACUUCUGGGAGGUUAUUCAACCAUCUGCCUCCAUGUUGGUUUAUUGGUCGAAAGCUCAGAAAAAGAAACAAACAUUUUUUGAACCCAUUUCUCCCAGUCCAACGUGUAGUCUGCAACUGGUUGAGUUUUUUUCUCUUCUGCUGCCGGGUUGCUGCAGGCCUGCAAGAGAAGGUGCUGGCUGACAUGUUUCAGGUCAGUGUGUCCACUGUCUCCCAUGUUGUUAUACCGUGGGCCAACUACCGUUACCUGCUCCUUGGCUCCCUCCCCUGCUCCUUGGCUCCCUCCCCAUCUGGAUGAGUAAACAGCAAGUCAAGAACACCAUGCCAAGCAAAUUUGUGCAGUACAGUCCAGAUGUUCGGGUAAUCAUCUUACAAGAACACAACAACCUUUAAGGCCUUGAUUGG